UACGGAGGGUGCAAACGUUGCUCGGAAUUAUUGGGCGUAAAGCGCACGUAGGCGGUCCAGCAAGUCGGGAGUGAAAUCCCUCGGCUCAACCGAGGAAGUGCUUUCGAAACUACUGGGCUUGAAUACUGGAGAGGGUUGCGGAAUUCCCGGUGUAGAGGUGAAAUUCGUAGAUAUCGGGAGGAACACCAGUGGCGAAGGCGGCAACCUGGACAGAUAUUGACGCUGAUGUGCGAAAGCGUGGGUAGCAAACAGG
rnacentral:rRNA from 1 species